rnacentral:tRNA from 1 species
AGGGUUUUAGCUUAAUUAAAGUGUCUGGGUUGCAUUCAGAAGAUGUGGAAUAAAGUCUUGCAGGUCCUA